UUCUCCUCCAACACGGGGCGGAUACCAGUAUACAGGCUAAGGGUGGGGGUACACCACUUCACUGGACUGCCGGGCUCGGCCACACACAAUGUGUAAAGCUUCUCCUCCAACACGGGGCUGAUACCAGUAUACAGGAUAAGGAUGGGUGGACACCACUUC